CACUAUGCUUAGCCUUAAACCUAAAUAAUUUUAUAACAAAAUUAUUCGCGCCAGAGAACUACAAGCCAGAGCUUAAAACUCAAAGGACUUGGCGGUGCUUUAUACCCGCCUAGAGGAGCCUGUUCUAUAAUCGAUAAACCCCGAUAAACCUUACCACUCUUUGCCAACUCAGCCUAUAUACCGCCAUCUUCAGCAAACCCUAAAAAGGAGCAAAAGUAAGCUCAAUCAUCACCAUAAAAACGUUAGGUCAAGGUGUAGCCUAUAGAGUGGAAAGCAAUGGGCUACAUUUUCUACUUUAGAAUACACGAAAGCCCCUAUGAAACUCUAGAGACCAAAGGAGGAUUUAGCAGUAAAUUAAGAAUAGAGUGCUUAAUUGAACGAGGCCAUGAAGCACGC
rnacentral:rRNA from 1 species